AAUUGGAGUAUACUCUUUCAGGACAAUGUUGCACUAAUACAAAUUAUUACUGUCAAUGUGCAUGCGAAAUCUAAAAACAUUACUUUUGUGCCUAAUCCUAAACAAUUUCUUGUAUAGAGCAAAAGAAACUAACUAGCAGGAUGGUAAUUGCACACAUUGAAAUAGAUUCGAAUACCAAUAACACAAAACAUAACAAAGACCUCUUGUAUCUGUUGAUCAGGCAUUGACUGUUAAAAUCUCACUUCAUAUUUACACUUUUAGAACCUUCAAAUCGAUUUAGAAGUUUUUUCAGAAUGAGAUCAUCAUUGAGUGCUAUGCGUAUUACCAAUUCGGUGGUUGUGGCAUCUGCAAAGAAUCCCUUAUCA
rnacentral:misc_RNA from 1 species